UUGGCAUGUAUGGGUGGACGCAGGGGUUUUAUUUUGAAUCCUGCAAGUGUUAGAGAAGUAAAAAUCCUAAGAGAAAUGUAUACUUCCAAUGUAAAAAUAGGUAUAUUUCGAGCGGGGCCGAAUUGUUCGGUAGAGGCGAAGAGCCGAGUGUUGCCGAAAAGAGCCGAGUGUUGCCGAAAAGAGGCUACUUUAGCCGAAGAGGCGAGUGUGGCCGAACAGAGCCGACGAGCCGAGUGUAGCCGAAAACAGCCGAGUUUACACCAAGAGCCGAUGAUAGCCGACUGGAAUCGAUAGCCGAGGGUAGCCGACACUGGCCGCAUUUAGACAAUGCGCCGAGUGUGACCGAGUUUCGCCCAAGCGUGCCGAGUUGGGCCGAAGAGCCGAACUGAAACGAGUUUAGACCAAGAGCCGAAGCAAGCCGAAUUGAGCCGAGUUUCUUGAAACAGAACCGAAGGACGCCGCAGCGCUCUCCCUGCAGGUCUCCGGAUCACACGGCAGGGGGCGCUGUAUAAAGGGCGAAGGACCCGUUUGAUGCCCGGGAGGGACUGCAGCUCCCGGUGGCGGAGGACGGAGCAGUGGCUGUCAGCCCGAGACUACAACUCCCGGCAGGCCCUGCUGCCGGCGAGGCGUGUGACGCAACGGCUGGCGCGGCACCGGAGUGGCUGGCGUGCCAGGCGGCCGCGCGGGGCUGUGCGCGGGCAGCUCCCGGCCCCUGUGCCGCGCGGGACGGCGCUGCGGCGGCGACGCCGGAGGGGCGAAGCCUCCGUCUGGCCGCCCGCACGGAGCUGAGCAGCGCGGAAGGGGCGUCGGCCCGGUUCUUCGGCCAUACUAAGCGGUAGCGAUGGCGGAGGGCGAGGCGGUGCUUUGCUGCCGCGGGCCGGGAGCUGCAGGAGCCGCCCCGGGCGAGCGGCGCCGGGCGCUCCCGCGGUCCCGGUGGGGCGGCUGCCCUCAGGCUGGCGGAGGCGCAGCAGCCCCCGAGCUGCAGCCGUCUCCCGCGGGCUGCUGCCGGUGCUGCGGGCGGAGGCGGCUCCGCCGCGUGUUGGGCGUUGCGAGCAGAGAGCGCUGCGAUAUCGCCGGAAUGACUGGGCUGCUGCCUGCGCUAGUGCUCGAGGCUCUUUCUGCCAUGCAAACGGAUGGAGCGGCGCUGAGCGGUAAAGCCAGAGAUGGCCGGGAGAAUGCCCAGCGCAGGGAGCAGGCGGGCUGUAUCCUUCCGAUGGCACAGGGUACUCAGAAAAUAUGUCUCCCUUAGAGUCCCACAGAAACGUUCUCAGUGCGAUCUCUGUCAAGUGCUAUGAGUCUUGAUAAAUUGGAGAAGAGCCCAAGAGAAGUUUUUCCUCCCUUGAUAUAAAAGGGAUCGGUGAAUUUUAACUUUGGAGUCCUCUGUGCUAAGGAUGCUCGGCUUACAGAUGAUGAAAUGUUCAGUAAUGUAUUUGCUGCAGCUCUGCUUACCCAAACUUUGGGUUCCUUCUGUCCCACUGGGAGUCGCCCGAUUUGGUUGCAUCUGGUGAAACUCACCCUGAGACCUUGGAGAACCAGCUCAAACUACGUGAGAGCCAUUUGCAGUUCUCUGCAGACACCUGGAGAAUGGGUGAUGCUUCUGAGGAUCUGGCAAAUGUGCUUCUAUCAAAACUCAGUCUGUGAAAUUUCUGGGGAAAACCCUUCUGUGUACCGAAGGGUUCAAACUCUGGGAAAGACUCUCGUGUCCUUGUCGUCAGGCUCGGUGCUGUCCAAAAAGAUACAGAGACUAAAACAAUCAUAAGAAGCAAAAUAUGACUGCAGGGAAAACAAGCUGGAGAGAACAAAAGAGCCCUGUCGUACUAAUCGUCAUACAGAUACAAAACAAAAAAUCAGACGCUGUCCCAGCCACUUAGAGCCCAGAACACGAUUUCCUCGGGCUGCCAUUUGUGUGCCAUCGGUACUCACCACGGAAGCGAGCCGGGGAUGUUGCAGCUGUUGGGAACAAACCGCUUCUCGUCACACAGAAAUGGAAUUCGGACGACGCCUCGGCCAGCCCCUCUCUGCCGUCGUCUCCUGAAUCUGCAGCAGAGCAGUUGCAGUCCGUCCGGGUACGUGUAAUCCAGCUCCUGACGAUCUGAGCACACGGAGCAGCGCUCAGCUGCCGUGGGGGCUCAGGGAAGGCAGAGUGUGCAUUGUCAUCUUCCUGAACCUACAGACCAAUCAAAGUGAGAAGCCACAGGUUGGAAAUCACUCGCAUAUAUGCUAAAUAAAACUUGCAGAUUUAUUUAAGAA